UACAGAGGGUGCGAGCGUUAAUCGGAAUUACUGGGCGUAAAGCGCGCGUAGGCGGCUUUGCAAGUCGGGGUGUGAAAUCCCCAGGCUUAACCUGGGAACUGCAUUCGAGACUGCAUUGCUAGAGUAUGGGAGAGGGAAGUGGAAUUUUCCGGGUGUAGCGGUGAAAUGCGUAGAUAUCGGAAGGAACAUCAGUGGCGAAAGCGACUUCCUGGACCAAUACUGACGCUCAUGUG
rnacentral:rRNA from 1 species